rnacentral:rRNA from 1 species
UACGAAGGGGGCUAGCGUUGCUCGGAAUCACUGGGCGUAAAGGGUGCGUAGGCGGGUCUUUAAGUCAGGGGUGAAAUCUUUCGGCUCAACCGGAAAAGUGCCCUUGAUACUGACUGUCUGGAGGGAGGUAGGGGCGUGCGGAACUUCCGGUGGAGCGGUGAAAUGCGUUGAUAUCGGAAGGAACACCGGUGGCGAAAGCGGCGCGCUGGACCUCUACUGACGCUGAGGCGCGAAAGCCAGGGGAGCAAACGGG